UACGUAGGGGGCAAGCGUUGUCCGGAUUCAUUGGGCGUAAAGAGCGUGUAGGCGGCCAGGUAGGUCGGUUGUGAAAACUGGAGGCUCAACCUUUAGAGGUCGACCGAAACCAUCUGGCUAGAGUCCGGGAGAGGAGAGUGGAAUUCCUGGUGUAGCGGUGAAAUGCGCAGAUAUCAGGAAGAACACCCGUGGCGAAAGCGGCUCUCUGGAACGGUACUGACGCUGAGACGCGAAAGCGUGGGGAGCAAACAGG
rnacentral:rRNA from 1 species